rnacentral:sRNA from 1 species
CAGUUGCCUCGGCGGGCCGCGCACUCGUGCCGCGCCUCGAGGAGCCGUCCGGGGACAAUCAACUCCCUGGAUCGCGCCCGCCGGAGGAGUGAUUAAAAUCCAUGAAUACUGUUCCGUCUGAGCGUUAGCAAGUAAAAUCAGUUAAAACUUUCAACAACGGAUCUCUUGGUUCCGGCAUCGAUGAAGAACGCAGCGAAAUGCGAUAAGUAAUGUGAAUUGCAGAAUUCCGUGAAUCAUCGAAUCUUUGAACGCACAUUGCGCCCUCUGGUAUUCCGGGGGGCAUGCCUGUUCGAGCGUCAUUUCAACCCCUCAAGCCCGGCUUGUGUGAUGGACGACCGUCCCGCCCUCCCUACUCCAGGGGAGGGGGACGCGCCCGAAAAGCAGUGGCCAGGCCGCGAUUCCGGCUCCUGGGCGAAUGGGCAACAAACCAACGCCUCUAGGACCGGCCGGUUUUCUGGCCUAGUU